GCUCUUUAUUUUUUCCAAAAAUCAUUUCUAGGUACAUAAGUAUCUAUUUAAUCAGAGAAACACCAAAAAAAUUCCAAGAUUCAACCACUAGCUAGCAAUAGUCAUUCCCGCCGUUUUGACCGCAUUUUGAAACGGGCAUAAUUUUUUUUAAAAAAAAUCAAAAAAUUGGGAAACCUUCGCAUUGUGUCAUUAUAUGUGGCCAAGUUCCCAGGAAAAAUAACAAACUUGUAAUACAGCAAUUAUUUUAAAAAAGUGUUCUCAGAAACGAGCUAUCAUGUAUGAAGAUCAAUGGCUUUCAAGCCAAAUGAUCAAUCUUAUGGCGACAUUCAUGGCAUAGUUUGUUCAAAUGAUCUCAUAUUGUGCACAAGGGUGCAUAUUGGAAUGGCAAACAAUGUUGCCUAAGGAAGUUUUCAUUUUCUUUGUACGAAAAAACCAUUUUUCAUUUUUCGAGUGCCCAAAAGGAGGUUUUUUUGUGAAGGUCCUCCCAAAUAAUUGUUGCAAAAUUGGACCAAAUCAUUUUUAUAAAAUACUAGGCCAUAUUUAAUGCAAAAUUGACCAAAUGGUUAGGUGCAAAAAGUUUUGAUCCACCUCUCAUGAAAAAGACAAAUUUCCGCCGAUUCAGUUGGAAGCGGGUCAAAUUUGAACUGCAGCUGCCUCAUAGUUUGCUAUUUAUUUUUUCCAAAAAUCAUUUCUAGGUACAUAAGUAUCUUUUUAAUCAGAGAAACACCAACAAAAUUCCAAGAUUCAACCACUAGCUAGGAAUGGUCAUUCCCGCCGUUUUGACCGCUAUUUGAAACGGGCAUAAAAAAUUCAAAAAAAAUUCAAAAAAUUGGGAAACCUUCGCAUUGUGUCAUCAUAUGUGGCCAAGUUCCUAGGAAAAAU
rnacentral:lncRNA from 1 species